rnacentral:rRNA from 1 species
AAUAUCAAAGGUGAGCCAGUACAGGAUGGACCCGCGUCUGAUUAGCUAGUUGGUAAGGUAACGGCUUACCAAGGCGACGAUCAGUAGCCGACCUGAGAGGGUGAUCGGCCACAUUGGAACUGAGACACGGUCCAAACUCCUACGGGAGGCAGCAGCGGGGAAUAUUGCACAAUGGGCGAAAGCCUGAUGCAGCAACGCCGCGUGAGUGAUGAAGGCCUUCGGGUCGUAAAACUCUGUCCUCAAGGAAGAUAAUGACGGUACUUGAGGAGGAAGCCCCGGCUAA